UGUUUGGGAAAUGCCCACUUAGGCAGGAACACCUUUUGGCCGGCAGAGCUCCCCAGAAACGGGGCCUGGUUCCGUUCUCAGCCACCUAAGAGGUAAAUCAGAAAUAAGACUGAGAGCGCCAACGCGUUAGUGCCUGAAUUCUCCAGUCGGCGUCGGCGUCGGAGCCGGCCUGCCUGGCGGCUGGUGGGAGGUGGAGCCCUGGCCACGCUUCUGCCUCCAUCACUGGAGCCUCUGAUUCCGGAUCCCCGGGCCCGAACUCUCCUAAGACUUUGGGGGAUAGGAUCACCUCCACGCGCGGGCAGAGGUUUGGGCUGCGGCAGAUGGCUGCAAUCUGGGGUCCCACGGCCCCUUUCGGGUCCCCCCUUACUUGUCCGGACCAAGGCUGCCGUGAAGCGUGGCCGCUGGCUGGGGUCUUCCUUCCGACUCCUUUGCUGCUGGGUGCGGUCGUGUGACCAGGACCCGGGCCCCUUCCCACAGCCGGGCAGGAACAGGCCUGCGACCCGGCCCAGCCCGUGCCGGAGCUCGACACCGUCGGGGAGGGCAGAGAAGGGGGACACCCCCCCCAAAUGUGUCGGCGGAAGGCUCACCUCCCCACCCCGUGUCACCGCAGGAGAGAGACAGGGAGGGACGCGUCUCCAGGGCACCGACUGCUGGGCCCUUGGCAGCCCGGCCCCCCAGAGCUCAUGAGCAGGAGGGCAGGAGCCCCGGCCAGGGCCUAGUGGCUCCCAGAGCCUGACACGUGCCCGAAGGACGGAAGUACUGCGCCCACCUCCAUGACCUCCUCUGAGCCGAGAGGCGACCUGGAGACACUCAGGUCCAGGACCUGGCUGGGGCCCGCUGGGCCCGCCCCAGGGCAGUGUGGCCUGGCGCUCCCUGCAGCCACCGCUGCCACCUGUGCAGCGGCCGCAGGACCCCGCUGGACCCAGCCCUACCCGGAAUUCCUGACCUGAGAGGCCGGAAGAUGGGCGGGUUUUCACUCUUCCUAGUCAGGCAGUUACGCAGACGCAAGUUCCCGGUGUCCCCAGAGGCAGGUACCCGUCCUAAAUUCCGAGAAGACUGCGGUGCCUCCCCCUCGGUCCCCGUUGGCCGGGACAGCUGCGCCGGGCUCGUGGGCCGUGCUCGGGGAGGGACGGGCCGCACGCUGCCCUGCCCGGGGGCCGCAGCCCUGGCGCUCCAAGGUGCCGCCUGUUAGGAGACACCAGCCCGGCUCCGGGCGCAGGGAGAGCGGGGGCUCCUUACUCUGCUCCGGUGCUGCACCCCGUAACCCGGAGUCCCACGAGGAGGGAGCCGCUGCCCCCCUUCUCCUGAACCGGCUGUCGCCGAUGGAAGGCAUCUGUCCGGGUUUCCGCACACCUGCCCACCUCCGGGGGGGCUUGCCUCACCUGGCCCAGGUUUCACUGGCCCCCAAGCCCAGGCCACCGUCGCCUCGCUUCAUUUGGGCUUCUCUUACCGCGUCAACGACAUGCUUUUCCUCCUGUUUCCUCCUGUUCCCCAUCACGCGUGGGCCAGGCCACCGUAUCUGCUGGAGGAGCCGAGGGCUCUGCUGACCUUUGUUCACAGUGAUUGCCUCGGUUUUGGCGAAGUGAAUUAAAGGAAGAUGAGAUCAGGAGACAGGAAAUCGUUUGCAGCUGGAUGCAGCUUAGGGAUGAGAUGAGUGAUGAAAGGCCCAAAAGUCCAAGGUAAAUCACAUUCUAAUCCUGAUUUCCUUUAUGGGAAGUGAAAAUAUCAGAGAGUUCUAGACCACUCCCGACCACUAUGAUGUCCUUUAGUAAUGACCUCACAACAGCCUUCCGGGGGGGCGGGUAUCCCCCUUUCACAGCUAAGCAAGCUGAGGCACAGAGGGGCUGGGAACUGCCCAGGCUUCCUCGCUCUGCCCAUCUCCUGGCCCACACCCCCCAAACAGCCCCAACUUCCCACACUAAGAGAGCAUUAGAGUGGAGAGCCAUUGCCGAAGGUGCAGGUGCUCUUGUUCGCAGGGGCAGCCAUGCAUUCUUCAUGGACCGUUGCCGUCAGAGCCACUUCGUCCUUCCCGCUGAGUGUCAGAGGUCGGAGAGCCAUUUUCUGUGAAGAAAUCCCUUUCCACGGUAAGGCUUCUCCAAGGUAAUGGAUAGGAGUGGAGGUGGAAAGUCACAAAGCAGAUCAGCUGCUCGGGAAAUUGCUCUGUGUAUAAACAAUUCUGUAACCCCAAGGAAGUCAAAACUGGACCCGCGGGUGGGAAAAAACUUAUGCACGGAGGUUUAAGGGGUGGAGGUGAGAAUAAGUCUCCUGGGUCAGUAUCUUCUCCACUCUGACCACCAAAAGCUUGUUUAUAUUCGAGACUGUCAGAGGGGCUGGGAUAUUCAGAGAAUGUGACUUCACUAAGAAACCUAAGGCCACCCAAUUUGGAGACCCAAGCUGAUCCAACUACACUUAACACAAAAUGCAGUCAAGUGAUGGAGUAAAGGCAAAACAGAAUGAAAACUCGGUGAGGACCCCUGAUGCCCUACUAUGCUUUCCUGUGAAUAUCACCGGUAAAAUGGGGACACCUUGCACCCCCGUCGGGGUAGGCAGGAUUCUAAGUGCUGUGAGGUUUUUCAUAUCCAAACCGAGCUUGUCCCUCUGAAACCUUGCGUGUCACAUAUAAGACACAUACUCUAGGUUUUAAGAAGUUAGAGAAGUACAAAGGUAUAAUUUGUGCCUGUGUCUGCAAGACCCUUGUCAGAUUUAGGGGAGCACCUGCUUGAUCAAGACCAGGGGGUAAAAAACACCAAAAUGUUUGGUUUGCCUAUAAUCAAUAUCAACUGUCAUUUCCCCCAGUGAUGAGUUUGUUCGGUGAGGGCUCUGGGAAGUGUGAUAUGGUUACCUCCUUUCUUGGGGGUUGCCCAUCUAGGGGACAAAGGCAAGAGCUUCAAAACCAUCACCUUUGAGUCUUAAGUGACAGAAUGGAACAGCUUUCCUGUUUCAGAUUUUGGUUUUGAAGUAGUAUGUAUUAAAACCAAAAUUUAAAACCCAAUACACAAAAAUAUGUGUUUAAGAGAUGAGCAUUUACUUCCUAAAGUGUUUACCACCAUCUUUCUUUAUAUCUUACAGAAAACACAUGUAUUUUUUGAAUCCGUGGAAAAUUUGCAAAAAUCAGUUAUAUAUUCUUCCAAAAAA
rnacentral:lncRNA from 1 species